rnacentral:tRNA from 2 species
GCGGACGUGGUGGAACGGUAGACACGCUAUCUUGAGGGGGUAGUGCCAACAGGUGUGGGGGUUCAAAUCCCCCCGUCCGCACCA